CCUACGGGUGGCAGCAGUGGGGAAUAUUGGACAAUGGGGGCAACCCUGAUCCAACCAUGCCGCGUGUGUGAAGAAGGCCCUCGGGUUGUAAAGCACUUUCAGUGAGGAAGAACGCCUGGUGGUUAAUACCCAUCAGGAAAGACAUCACUCACAGAAGAAGCACCGGCUAACUCCGUGCCAGCAGCCGCGGUAAUACGGAGGGUGCGAGCGUUAAUCGGAAUUACUGGGCGUAAAGCGCGCGUAGGUGGCUUGAUAAGCCGGUUGUGAAAGCCCCGGGCUCAACCUGGGAACGGCAUCCGGAACUGUCAAGCUAGAGUGCAGGAGAGGAAGGUAGAAUUCCCGGUGUAGCGGUGAAAUGCGUAGAGAUCGGGAGGAAUACCAGUGGCGAAGGCGGCCUUCUGGACUGACACUGACACUGAGGUGCGAAAGCGUGGGUAGCAAACAGGAUUAGAUACCCUGGUAGUC
rnacentral:rRNA from 1 species